rnacentral:rRNA from 1 species
AAAACAUCUUUUCUUGUAAUUUAUUUGAAAUUUGUCCUGCCCAAUGAUUUAUUUAAUGGCCGCAGUAUUCUGACUGUGCAAAGGUAGCAUAAUCAUUAGUUUAUUAAUUGUAGACUUGUAUGAAUGGUUUGACGAAAUAUUAGCUGUCUCAUAAUUAAGAUUGAAAAUUAAAUUUUAAGUUAAAAUGCUUAAAUUUUAUUAAGGGACGAGAAGACCCUAUAGAUCUUUAAUUAUCUUAUUUUUAAUUAAUUUGGUUUAUUUAAUUUUUUAUUUAAGAUUAUUUUUGUUGGGGUGACAUUAAGAUAUAAAUAACUCUUAAUUAUUAUUUUCAUUUAUUUUUGUAUUUUUGAUCUUUAUUAAUGUUUAUAAGAUAUAGAUACCUUAGGGAUAACAGCGUAAUUUUUUUUGAGAGUUCAUAUCGACAAGAAGGAUUGCGACCUCGAUGUUGGAUUAAGAUAAUUUAUAGGUGUAGAAGCUUAAUAAAUAGGUCUG